GGCCCGCACAAGCGGUGGAGCAUGUGGUUUAAUUCGAUGCAACGCGAAGAACCUUACCUGGCCUUGACAUCCACGGAAUUCGGCAGAGAUGCCUUAGUGCCUUCGGGGAACCGUGAGACAGGUGCUGCAUGGCUGUCGUCAGCUCGUGUUGUGAAAUGUUGGGUUAAGUCCCGCAACGAGCGCAACCCUUAUCCUUUGUUGCCAGCGAGUAAUGUCGGGAACUCAAAGGAGACUGCCGGUGACAAACCGGAGGAAGGUGGGGAUGACGUCAAGUCAUCAUGGCCCUUACGGCCAGGGCUACACACGUGCUACAAUGGCGCAUACAAAGAGAAGCGAACUCGCGAGAGCAAGCGGACCUCACAAAGUGCGUCGUAGUCCGGAUCGGAGUCUGCAACUCGACUCCGUGAAGUCGGAAUCGCUAGUAAUCGUAGAUCAGAAUGCUACGGUGAAUACGUUCCCGGGCCUUGUACACACCGCCCGUCACACCAUGGGAGUGGGUUGCAAAAGAAGUAGGUAGCUUAACCUUCGGGAGGGCGCUUACCACUUUGUGAUUCAUGACUGGGGUGAAGUCGUAACAAGGUA
rnacentral:rRNA from 1 species